rnacentral:rRNA from 1 species
GACGAACGCUGGCGGCGUGCCUAAUACAUGCAAGUAGAACGCUGAAGGAGGAGCUUGCUCUUCUGGAUGAGUUGCGAACGGGUGAGUAACGCGUAGGUAACCUGCCUGGUAGCGGGGGAUAACUAUUGGAAACGAUAGCUAAUACCGCAUAACAGUAGAUGUUGCAUGACAUUUACUUAAAAGGUGCAAUUGCAUCACUACCAGAUGGACCUGCGUUGUAUUAGCUAGUUGGUGGGGUAACGGCUCACCAAGGCGACGAUACAUAGCCGACCUGAGAGGGUGAUCGGCCACACUGGGACUGAGACACGGCCCAGACUCCUACGGGAGGCAGCAGUAGGGAAUCUUCGGCAAUGGACGGAAGUCUGACCGAGCAACGCCGCGUGAGUGAAGAAGGUUGUCGGAUCGUAAAGCUCGGUUGUAAGAGAAGAACGAGUGUGAGAGUGGAAAGUUCACACUGUGACGGUAUCUUACCAGAAAGAGACGGCUAACUACGUG